rnacentral:lncRNA from 1 species
CUUCAAGAUUAGAGAAGGCUUGAAAAGUUUGAGCUGCGCCUUUGGAGACCAACAUACUUUUCUCCUCUUUUGACCAAGCUCAGCUCCCCUGUAUACUUCCAAGGUCUGUUGCAUCAAGAGUGAGAAUUCAAGGUCUUAGAAGCUGGGAUCUCAGAUGUAGGGAAAAGAGAUUUCCUGUCCACAUUUCCUGUCCACUGUUAACAUGUGGCUGAAACUUUUUGAUCUAGUCAUCUACAAAGCAUGAGUUGUGGAUCAGAAAUUGUUUUUCACAUCUUUUGACUUCCUUUGGCAUCAGAAUAUAACCUAGGAAUUGACGACUUAAGUGAAGGUCUGUCUCUCCAGUGGAUGCCACAGAAACAUGCAGAGCCAACUAUAAUAGAGUGUGGUCACUGCCUUCAUGACAGAACUGAACAGCGUUAUGAAGAAAAGAGGCAUUGAUUCUACUUCAGUGGGGCCAGUGCUGGGCAGGAUGGUGAGAAGAGAGAGAGAAGAGAAACUCAGAAGAAUUAUAG